CAGGGCUGCAAGUGAAUUUGAUUUGUGGCAGCCCCAGCAACACUCUGCCGCCUCUGAGAAUGGGAGGGAUCCACUCAAGCUGCCCCUGAACAGAAGCCAGCACGAGCCUGGCAGAGAACCUGAGACUGGGAGACCACACAUCAAUGCUGCCGCAGGGUUGGUACCCCUACCACUGCCUGAUUCUAGGAGAAAUAAGAAGCAAGGUGGACAGAAUCUCAGCUUCUGUGAAUGAGGUAGAUCCAUGGUGGUGAAAGGAGCUCUUCCAUUACCUGUGAAUCCUGAGUUAUGUUACUGCAGCUUUAUGGCUGCCAAGUCUUCACAAAUGCUAGUUAACUUCACUGGGAAUGCUGAAGGAACUCCACACAAAAUGAGCUACAAAUCUAGAACAGAACAGAUUUUGGAAGGAAGAGCAAAGCCCUAGACUGAGGCAGAAGAGUCUGGUUGCAAGGAAGCAUCAGUAAGUUUGCUGUACAUUAGUAAAAUUACUUUGCAUCUGCCAGAC